rnacentral:rRNA from 1 species
CCAGACUCCUACGGGAGGCAGCAGUGGGGAAUAUUGCACAAUGGGCGCAAGCCUGAUGCAGCGACGCCGCGUGGGGGAUGACGGCCUUCGGGUUGUAAACUCCUUUCGCUAGGGACGAAGCUUUUUGUGACGGUACCUAGAUAAGAAGCACCGGCUAACUACGUGCCAGCAGCCGCGGUAAUACGUAGGGUGCGAGCGUUGUCCGGAAUUACUGGGCGUAAAGGGCUCGUAGGUGGUUUGUCGCGUCGUCUGUGAAAUUCCGGGGCUUAACUCCGGGCGUGCAGGCGAUACGGGCAUAACUUGAGUACUGUAGGGGUAACUGGAAUUCCUGGUGUAGCGGUGAAAUGCGCAGAUAUCAGGAGGAACACCGAUGGCGAAGGCAGGUUACUGGGCAGUUACUGACGCUGAGGAGCGAAAGCAUGGGUAGCGAACAGGAUUAGAUACCCUGGUAGUCCAUGCCGUAAACGGUGGGCGCUAGGUGUGAGGGUCUUUUCACGACUUUCGUGCCGUAGCUAACGCAUUAAGCGCCCCGCCUGGGGAGUACGGCCGCAAGGCUAAAACUCAAAGGAAUUGACGGGGCCCGCACAAG